UACCCAAAGCACGCGCCACCACGCUUCUGGACGAGGACGUUGUUGAGGCGAGCGUACCUAUUCUUUCUUCUGGGUACCCGCUCCAGUCACCUCCUUCAGCCGCGCCCCUCGACACCAAACCCCACCCUUGGACGCGGCCUCACCUGAUCGGCAGCCGCCGCCGUCCUAGAUCUCUCCUUCUCCUUUCACUGCGCGCACUACUAUCCGCUGGUUACCUAGCGGCCCGGCUUUAGCGUAGAGGGACCGAGAGAGCCGGAGAAGGGGAGAGCGCGGGUUCCGUUUCGCUGCGGCCGCCGGCGCUGGACCGGGUAAGAGGCCGGUAGAGCGGCGGAGAGGGGCUGACGCAGGGAGAGGUGGGUUUUUUCUUUUUCUUCCUUCUUUUUUUUGACCUAGCCUCUGCGUGGUCCAGUGGUAAGAGACGCUGCGUUCGUCGUCUUGUUGUUCUGUCGACCACCGACGCUCGUGACCUCGCGUGCCGUCCCUCUCCCUCGCUGCUCCGCGCCGGCCGUGUCUGGUCUCUCACACGUUUGCUACCAACAACGUGCUGUAAUGAGUAGAGAUGAGGAUUACCUCGUCAACUAAUUGGUCGCUUUUGGUCGCUUGUUUUUUAGCCUGCUGCGGGAUCGAGGGAGGCGGGCGCCCAGCGGGCGAGGGAGCGCGGGGACAACGAGGGAGGAGCUAGGGCUAGACCUAGCUCCCCUGCUCCUCGAGGACGGAGGGGCUGCCGGCUGGAGGAGGAGCGGGGCGGCGACGCAGGCCGCGGCGGUGCCGGAGACCUCGGUCCCUUCGGUACCGGACUCGAGCCGGAGCUCCAGGGGCGGCGGCAGAGGACGUCGAAGACGGGGCGGCGGAGUGGCGGGCUCGAGCGGCAGCGUGGUUGGAGCCGCGGCGCGGCGGCGGCCGAGACCAGCGGAGGUGGAGGCGCGGCACUCCUUGGGCGGUGUGCGCAGUUCCGCUCCGCGGAGGACCCGAGGCAGGCAAAGGUCUCGCUCGCGGGCGCUUAUGGAUCGAUCGGCGGCGGCAGCACUGGCAAGGUCGGUGGCGGUUCCAUUCCACGAAAGAGGUAGAGUUAAAGGAAGGAAGGGGUAGUUCCAAUUAAACCUAGGCAGGUACAGCGGCGCGGGCGGUUUGGCGUCCGGUGUGAAGGAGAAGGUGGAGGCGCAUGAGGACCAACGUCGGGGUCGAGAAGUGCCCGUCCCUCUCUUCCCCCCGUACUAGCCGCCCCGUCUCAAGAAAGCCUUCCUGUCGCACCACCCGUUGUACCUGCCUAUGGAGUCGAUGGACAGGGAGCUCAUACUGAAGCAGAGCCUGUGGUUAGGACGAACCCAUAGAAGUAAAACCUUCGUCCUUAGGAAAGGAGUAUUCUACCUACUCGACAUCAUAAUCCUUAAGUACGGAAGGUCGAGAUUAAAAAAGCGUAACAACCACAUACGACCCUCAGUGUAAUAAUACGACGAUCGUUUGUCAUCCUAACCUUCAGAAUGAGACAUCCAAUCAUUAUAGAAAAGGUGAUAUGGCUCCAAGUCGUUAAAUUAAGCAUAAUUCCAGUGUGUUCGUCAAACCAAAAGUCUAAACAGAACUGUUUGUAUAAACCAAGUCGUUAAAUUAAGUAUAAUUUCAGUGUGUUCGUCAAACCAAAAAUCUAAACAGAACUGUUUGUAUAAAACGUCUAAUAGGAGUGUAUACUUUAACUAAAGACGUUCAAGGAAAGUGAAGAAUAAAUAAAGAAGUGAACCAAUACUACAUGACGAUAAGCAAAAGUACUACUAAGUACGCAAAACAUCAAAAGUGACUGUCUUAGAACAGAACUUUGUUCUAACCAAGGGUAACAAUGUCACUUCAUCGAUGGUUCGUCGCUCCGGUAGCUCACUGUGCUCUGGCGCCCUGCCGCACUCUUCUUCGUCCCCCACAGACCGCCCUACCUCUUCUGGUGUCCCUUCACACCGCUACCUCACGUUAGGGCUUCUUCUUCUUGUAACGUUUCUUUCUGGGACCGGUUCACGGUGGGUUAAGAGAAAGUGGCUGGGUAGAUUACCGGUAGUUAAGUUAACCAGGUUCGACAACACAACUGGAAGGGUAACUAGGUGAUGUAGGAGCGAGUCGACCAAGACGAUACAAAGAAGAGGUACCGUAACGACCAACGGCCGCACGGACUGUAGCGCGGAAUACACUGCACUGUACUACGAGGAGAUGCACAAGAAGAGUGGGGCCAAAGGUACUCCUCUCUACAACAAGACACCAAGACAUCAAGAUGAGGUAUCGUUACUACCUCAGCGGAGGUAUACCUAUCGUUAAUAGAGCCCUAGUACUCUCGACAGAUGCGUUGCCGGUCCCCCGUAUACGAAGAGGAUCGUGAUUCUGGAGGUAGGAUAAACUCGGUCUUACCGAAACCACGGGAGAGAGCGAGUAACACUCCGGCACGUACGAACGGUACAACACCGAUGCUUUAGAGUCUGACUCAGCGAAGCCAGCCCGUGAUAAGUCCAUGUUGAGUGAAAGGAGGUGGUAACAACCAACGACACGUAGUGUCCGAACUGCUUUAAAGUAACUACCACAGCUAGAACGAGAACGAUCUGGGAGGAACAAUAUUUAGUAAUAACCUAAGAUCGAUCCCGGAAUCCUUAACUAUUAAAGAACUAACAUAGCGACUUUUACAUCAAGAAUGUUCUAAGAGUAACGGUUUAACAAUACCGUCGUACUCACUUUUAUACAAGGAAAAUUUACGAAUCUAAGAUAUCUCUGGAUACUACAUAUAGGAUUUAAUGACAUAACACACGAAAACAUUUUAUUUGACAUAACUAAGUUAAAUAUAUAAAUCAUGUUACCAAAACGAGUGUAGUGUUUAUAGAUUGUUGUUCUCACUAAUGACUUUCGUAUUUUAUAUAAAGUUAAAGAUCCGGCGAUGUAAUAAAACUUUGUACUCGAAAAAAUUUUGACUCACAAACUGCAUCGAACAACAAUAACAGUUUUACUUUAUCGCUCAUAUAUAAACAACGAAAAACAAAUCCUUUCACUUUUUUUGUUCUACGGCAAACAUACGGUCCUUACCGUAUACACUUGCUGAGUUCACCAUCAAAAAUCCCAUCCCCGUUCCCCGUAAAAAAUAUUUGACGGUACCGUCAAGAAAUUAAAUCACGUUAAAAAACUCUUUGUCGGUAGGUGUCCUAGAACUAACACGCCAAGACACACACAAGUGACCCUGGAGUAGUGGUCGCUUGCAAGCGGCCCAUAACAAGUUGUACCGAGAUUACUAAGUUAGUUUAAAGUAACGUUUCAUAUGACCUGGUCCGAAAGGAAGAAAGAUUACGCCACAAUCAACCGUAAUUCAACACUUUAGGUUUAGGUAUGUAAAUGUCAAGAACAACAAGAUUAAUGUGUUCAUAAAAGUGAAAAAAAACAAUUGAUUAGAAGUGUGGCUUGUGGUAGAGUCAUUGGUCUGGACUAUAUCAUGAAUCAAAACCGUAAUCUGUGUUGUUGAAACUGUAACUAUUAAAGGAGUAUAUAAAUCAUCCUGUUAUUUGAACAGAUCGUAAAGUAAUACUCAACGUCCGAGACUUUUAUUUACAUACACGGGGGAUUUACUANNNNNNNNNNUUUGCACACCAAAACCUUAAUACGUACGACUGUACGUAACCGUUAGUAAUAAGUUGUCAUAAGGAAAAGUGACUUUAUAUUGGUACAUUACGAAUGCUAAAUUAGACCAAUAGAUCUGUUGAUUUACCCAAUUACAAUACGAAUCAUAGAAAACCGUAUACAUUACGUACCUUCCUUUGGUCACAGAAAACUAUCCCUAAAGACCUCCAUUGUGCGGAGACUGACAUACGUGACUUAAAGUCUACGAGACAAAUCUUCUACAGAAGAAGUCAUCAUGAUGUAUAAAAAUACUAAAGGACAUUGAACGACUAUACCGUGACCAAACGGCGUACCACACGAUGUUGAUGUGAGGUCCCCUUAUAAACAAGUCUUAGAAGUCAGAACAUUAAAAGAGGAACUACUGUUACUGGUACGACACGACCCCCUAAACCCUAAGGUAGGAACGACAAACCUGAAGGCGACGGUUUAGGUCUAGAAUAGGUUUCUGAACCCUGAGGUUUAAUGUACGGGGUCUUGUAACCGCUGGUUUGUAGUCUCCGGGUUAAUCAAUGCUCUGACUGAGUAACCCCAAAGGGAACCUCGUAAGAACUCUACAAGUCACCGCAAGUCUGAACCACACGGUUUAGUGGUCUACUCUAAAUAGUCAGUCAACAGGACUUCUUUCUCUUUGGCUACAAGGACAUGUUAAAUGGAUGCCUCCAGCGAUUACAGGAGAGACCGACGAUACUCAUACUUAAAGUCCUAGUGAGGAACUACAAUCUAUAGAAUGUCAGUAAACUUUACAUUGUACGAUUUUGAGACAAAGACGAAGACGGAACAAUUGAAUGUAUUAAACCAAUUUGACGGUACCUACCCACUAAAAUGGUAUAAAGUAAAAGUAUAAACGAAUAUAAUAUAACAUGUUUGAUGUUCGUAAUAACUUCAAACAGUGUACUUUCGUACCUUGACGAAAGAAUCGACACAGCAAAUAUCAGUAUAUACCAGUUACGUCCAAAUAAAAGGAGGUCUCGAAUGAAAAUGAUACAGGACCAUGACCAAAAGAGACGUCCAAAGAGAUGUAAUCGAAACACAUAAGUUUAAAAAACAAGGACUGUUCUUCACGUAACGUGUACGUGUGAAUAUACUUGUUCGGAAUGUACUAAACGAGAAAAUGACUACCUGACUCCUCCAGUCUCUACAUAUUGUCGGCAUAACUAGGUUUACUGUUCAUGCCGUCACGAUUGGACGAAUGGAUCUUAAAAUGGUGUAGGAUUCUGAACGUUUAGACAUAUUAUCCUUACCGAUCGACAAAAGACCAGAUGUUGGCACUGUAGACCACCGUAGAGAGUGGUACAGACGUGUAUCACAAAUCAGUACUAAGAACGUAUGACAGCUCAGAGCUCUUCCCGCACUGUAAAAAAGGACUUGACUAAAGAUAAAAAAAAAACGAAUGGCCAACUCGAGCCAAAGUUGAGAAUGGACUCAUCAACUAUCCUUUCGGACUACGUCCACAUACCUUUAAUACGUUAAGGUACUCCAAACCUCAACAGGUCAUAUGAUGACUCCGGAUGUAUAAAACGACUACGUCCAACCUCCACUGUGUACUUGCGACCGUUGCGUUUUAUCGUCUAUAUUUUAUUGACGUCGAGUCCGGUACAUCAAGAUGUUGUUGGUUCCUUCUUCAGGCAAAAAAUUCGGCUGGAACCGGUUCGUAAAUUCGAAUAUACCAACGAGAGAUAAAAAGUCUCCACGCACAUGACUCCUGCGGGUACUAAAUCCCGGUUUUUAGAUCUGUUUCACUGUUUUGAAACAUGCUCUGAAUGAACUUCGGUUCCUCCAGUCCCCUCCUCCUGUUGUUCCGACCCCUCGCUCCGCCUCUGGCUGCCCCUUCUCUUACUAGUUCGUACAUUUAGAUCUCGUGUUCGAGCACUAAAUAGUUCCCUCACCGUGACGGCGGCCUAAUCUUUUAGUAUAGAGUGCAAUUCCACAAAAACAGAAAACAAAGACAUGUUUAAACCACGUCCG
rnacentral:rRNA from 1 species